GUCUUCCAGCAGACCUCCCUGGUAGCGCUGCAAUAGUGGAGUGGGUUAGUCACAACUUUGAGAGGGUUUGAAACUUAGCAGAGUUUUUCUGUCUCUGAAACAAUGAAGUUGUUCCCACAGGGAGGUCCUGAAGACCUGGCAGGUAUUCUUGGUAGAAAAAUUGGACAGAAGUCUCAAUCUUACAUCUCAUCCCACCAUAUGAACACAAGUGCUCUGUGGAGGACUCCUUUAGGAUGGAUGUUGUGCAUGAAGAAGUAAUUUUGCAGGGCCCCUUUCUGUCUGCAGGCAAGUCAGGCAGUGAGCUUUUCAGUGAUGACAGCAGGCCACAGUAUUUACUGAAGGCAGCAGAGUUGGUGGUUUGGGGACACAUGGGAAGACUGAAGGAAAAAGGAGGCCAGUCCCACUCUCUGCCUCAGCUUCACUCAGGCUGGAGUCUUGGAGGUCCAGGUACUGCUAAGUUUUGGAACAGGACAGCAACUGUGAUGGAGCAAUAAAAAAGUUGAAGUAAAUGAGCAUGACUGAGAUUGUGGUUGUACAUGGGUGAUGCUUUCCAGCUCCAGUUACCUUUUCCUGUUGGCAUGAUCCUCCCUCACCCUCUCCCUAUCCCUUUUUUUGCCUGACCACUUCCUAUUUUCUAUUUACCUCUUUCCAGUCUAUUCCUUCUGCCAUUGCUUUGAACCUUCACCCAUCCCACCUUUUAAUGAAGCCCAAAGCUGUGGUAGCUCAACCAUUGCAAAUACUGCUUUUCUGAGAUGUUUUUAUACCCUUCUCUGAGGCUGUGGGGAUUUUUCCCUCAGUUCACUCUGCAGACAGGAGACCACCAUGAUCCCAAAGCAUGACUAGAUCCAGUAAACAAGGUCCAGUCUAGGUUCAGCAGUGCUCAGGUGCCAUCACUGGCAGUGUAGUCAUUGUAAGUCAGAGCUCAAGGGGGGCUGCAGCCUGUUGGCAAUGUGAGCUAAAUCUAUGACAGAUUAAGGUGCUCUGCCCUACAUGGUGCCCAAAAAAUUUCCAGGCUGCACCUCUGGGUUGGUAGGGAUAGAUUUACCUGCUGCUCCCCUCCUUAUUUAUGGAAUCUUUAGUCAUUACUCUCCAUUGUCCCACCCCACAAAAUUCAAGCAGCAAUGCUGAGCCUGGGGCAAGGAGGGGAACAAACCCACCUGGCAGAGCAGCAGCACAGCAGUGGUAACAGCUCUCCAGCAAGGGAGUGAAGCCUCUGUCACCCUCAGCUCACCAGGAUGCCGUGCAUGGCACCCAGGAGAAAUGUUGCUCACACCAGCCUUUGAGUGUUGUUGCCUUGAAUGUGACAACAGCAAGACCCUGUUAUAAAGGUCUCCUCUUCUAGAUGGUAAUGAGGGCUCUGAUGCACAAAAUGAAAAAUCCAGUGGCAGUUGACUUCUCAUUAGGAGAAAAAACCACAAAACCAAUACAUCCUUUGAAUUAGCCUGGUAUAUUAAUAAUAAUAAUAAUAAUAUGUGUCUUGUCCUCUCUCUCUUCCCUGUCUCAGUCUCUCUUUAUGCUGUUUCCCUGCACUUUUGAUUUCACGUGCCACUGAAAUAAAACUCUGCUG
ensembl:lncRNA